rnacentral:rRNA from 1 species
AGAGUUUGAUCCUGGCUCAGGACGAACGCUGGCGGCGUGCUUAACACAUGCAAGUCGAACGGUGAAGUCCCUUCGGGGGCGGAUCAGUGGCGAACGGGUGAGUAACACGUGGGCAAUCUGCCCCUCACUGUGGGAUAACUCCGGGAAACCGGGGCUAAUACCGCAUAUGAAGCCUGGCGGCAUCGCCGGGUUUGGAAAGUUUUUCGGUGAGGGAUGAGCCCGCGGCCUAUCAGCUUGUUGGUGAGGUAAUGGCUCACCAAGGCGACGACGGGUAGCCGGCCUGAGAGGGCGACCGGCCACACUGGGACUGAGACACGGCCCAGACUCCUACGGGAGGCAGCAGUGGGGAAUAUUGGGCAAUGGGCGAAAGCCUGACCCAGCGACGCCGCGUGCGGGAUGAAGGCCUUCGGGUUGUAAACCGCUUUCAGCA